CCUACGGGAGGCAGCAGUAGGGAAUUUUCGGCAAUGGGGGGAACCCUGACCGAGCAACGCCGCGUGAACGAAGAAGUUAUUCGUAAUGUAAAGUUCUUUUAACAGGGAAGAAAGAGAAAUUUGACGGUACCUGAAGAAUAAGCUCCGGCUAACUACGUGCCAGCAGCCGCGGUAAUACGUAGGGAGCGAGCGUUAUCCGAAAUUAUUGGGGGAAAAGGGUGCGUAGAUGGCAUAGUAAGUCUUUUGUAAAAAUGCUGGGCUAAACCCAGUAGGGCAAAAGAUACUGCAAAGCUAGAGUAUGACAGAGGCAAGUGGAACUACAUGUGUAGCGGUGAAAUGCGUAAAUAUAUGUAAGAACACCAGUGGCGAAGGCGGCUUGCUGGGUCGAUACUGACAUUGAGGCACGAAAGCGUGGGGAGCGAACAGGAUUAGAUACCCCAGUAGUC
rnacentral:rRNA from 1 species